GACGAACGCUGGCGGCGUGCCUAAUACAUGCAAGUAGAACGCUGAAGGAGGAGCUUGCUUCUCCGGAUGAGUUGCGAACGGGUGAGUAACGCGUAGGUAACCUGCCUGGUAGCGGGGGAUAACUAUUGGAAACGAUAGCUAAUACCGCAUAAGAGUAGGUGUCGCAUGACAUUUGCUUAAAAGGUGCAACUGCACCACUACCAGAUGGACCUGCGUUGUAUUAGCUAGUUGGUGAGGUAACGGCUCACCAAGGCAACGAUACAUAGCCGACCUGAGAGGGUGAUCGGCCACACUGGGACUGAGACACGGCCCAGACUCCUACGGGAGGCAGCAGUAGGGAAUCUUCGGCAAUGGACGGAAGUCUGACCGAGCAACGCCGCGUGAGUGAAGAAGGUUUUCGGAUCGUAAAGCUCUGUUGUAAGAGAAGAACGAGUGUGAGAGUGGAAAGUUCACACUGUGACGGUAUCUUACCAGAAAGGGACGGCUAACUACGUG
rnacentral:rRNA from 1 species